rnacentral:rRNA from 1 species
UACGGAGGGGCUAGCGUUGUUCGGAAUUACUGGGCGUAAAGCGCACGUAGGCGGCUUUUUAAGUCGGGGGUGAAAUCCUGGAGCUCAACUCCAGAACUGCCCUUCGAUACUGGAAAGCUCGAGUCCGGGAGAGGUGAGUGGAACUGCGAGUGUAGAGGUGAAAUUCGUAGAUAUUCGCAAGAACACCAGUGGCGAAGGCGGCUCACUGGCCCGGUACUGACGCUGAGGUGCGGAAAGCGUGGGGAGCAAAGCAGG